CUCUGAAAUCCGCUCCGAAGGCUUCGGCUCGUGGACAGCUUGUGAAUUGUGCUCCCCUCAGUCUCUGCACAUCCCCAGCAUGGACUUUCUGAGGUUUUUCUUCAGUGUGAAUUUUUUCCUUGCCUGCUCACGAGAGCCCUCGCGUUCAGAGGACGAGGGGCAGAUGUGGGUGCCCUGCAGCAGUGCCCGGGGGCUCUCCGGAGGGGCUUCUCCCACCACCAUGGGGAACUGCUCUUCCAGCCCUGCACGGCACCUUACUGCCAGGCCUGACGCUUAUCCUGACAAAGCCUGGUGAUUAGGGGUCUUGUUGGGAGGGCUAGCAGCGCUUGGAUGGUCUAAUUGCAGAGGGAAACAAUUGUAGUGACCAAAAUAUCCUUUUCCCACCCUAAGAAUACUGCUAGGCAGCUGCUCUUGGAAAUGAAGUGAUUCAUCUCUGCACUGCAAAAAUGGCUUUUUGAUGUUUUCUAUUUUCAGUUGCCAAUACUGAUGUAAUUUUUAUAGAAAUUUAUUGCUAAGAAUGGCCAAAUAUAAGGAUUUUUCCCAGAAAAUACAAAUACCUGAAUGCCAUUGCUUCCCAUAGGGAAAAUCUACUAAAUUUUUUUCCUUAUUCUUUGAGCUGGCUGGAGAGUGUACUUAUGCUUGCACUUGUGCCAGUCUUAGACUUAAUUUCUGACUCUUGACAGCUGACAAUUAUUUGCUGUAUACUGCUAUUUUCAUAUUGGGGAAAAAAAUACUGCAAACAAUGGAUGUAUGGGAGUGGUGGACAAGGCAGUAUAGCGUGAUAUAUUAUAGCGCCGUGUCUUAGCUCGCAGUGGGCACUUACCCUUGUGAUGUACGUGCUGCUUGGCAACUACGGAGUGCGGAAGCUGCUGCCCGUGACCCAGGAUGGAUCAGCACAUGCAGGCUGACACCUGGCACCUCUCCUCUGCAGCACAGCCAAGCCUGCACAGGAUUUACAGCUGACUCCAGCUGCAGAAAGUCCCGUAGGGCCAAGUGGCCCCCAAAAGUGCAUCCGUGCCCCUGUGGUGCAGCCAGACGUACUGAUGGGAUGGGACAGCUGGGGCUGGGAGAACCUUGGCCCAGAAGUGACUUUGAUCACCUGCUGCUGAUCCUGAAGUUUAUGCGAAAAUACCUUUCUCAUAACUCGCAGAGAUGGUGGGGGAAGAUCAGGCUUUCUAAGUGUGAGUGGUGUGUGUGGAGAAGCCAUCCAAAUUGUACAAAGCAAAAAUGAUGUCAACAUUGACCAUUAUUUGUAGGAAAAAAUCUUCAGGCCAUUGUGGAUAGCUUGAUCCUGUGUGCCCACUGGAUCAAUGUCAGGAGAAAUAAAGUAUUUCUUUUAC